rnacentral:rRNA from 1 species
CCUACGGGUGGCAGCAGUGAGGAAUAUUGGUCAAUGGGCGAGAGCCUGAACCAGCCAAGUCGCGUGAAGGAUGACGGCCCUACGGGUUGUAAACUUCUUUUGUCAGGGAGCAAUUGGGUCCACGCGUGGGCUUAGCGAGAGUACCUGAAGAAAAAGCAUCGGCUAACUCCGUGCCAGCAGCCGCGGUAACACGGGGGAUGCGAGCGUUAUUCGGCUUUAUUUGGUUUAAAUGGUGCGUAGGGGGAACAUAAAGUCAGCGGUAAAAAUUCGGGGCUCAACCCCGUCGGGCCGUUGAAACGGAUGUACUAGAGUGGGCGAGAAGUAUGCGGAAUGCGUGGGGUAGCGGUGAAAUGCAUAGAUAUCACGCAGAACUCCGAUUGCGAAGGCAGCAUACCGGCGCCCAACUGACGCUGAAGCACGAAAGCGUGGGUAUCGAACAGGAUUAGAUACCCUAGUAGUC